CACAAAACCUCCCUCAACAAUAUCUCUCUUUCUGCCUUUUACAUUCCCCAGCUCCUCACUUCUAGACGGCUGCUCUCCGUGAGCCAAGCCUGCCUGCAUUGCUCCACCAUUAACUGUUAUGGAAAUUCAGAUACCGAAGGUCAUUUGACGUAAAAAGGAAUGUUCCACGCAUGACAGGAGGCAUUUGGCUUUCGGGAACUUUGUGCAUGUUGCAAUUCAGCAGAACCUCUGUAACUGCUCCAUCAUGGGAGGCACAUUACCAAUAUCUCAAUUCAUGGCUGCACAGAACUCGGCAAAGCCCUGCACCAUGUAUUGCUUGGAAGUGUCAAAAAGGUAAAAUUAAUCUGGUACAGUCUAUAAUAGGGCCCUAUACUUAGACCCUGCCACACGGUAGUGCUGCUCUGCGCCCACAGCCUCUGCACCCUACACUAGAGGAGCACUUAGGAGCACAAGCACAGUUGCACUUUUCCCCACAAUCAGUUGCGAGUUGAACCCCAUUCAAUAAAAUCUGCGCUUUGCACUCCCAUAUAGUUUUGCUUUGCGCCUCAGAAUUGAGCACUACUGCACCUAUUGACACCUUAACUUCUUAUUGAAAUGAUGCCAGACGAUUUGUGAUGUUAUUUUUUCCGAAUCAGAUGCAGUUGCUGGAGUAACACCACCUUGUGACCGCGAUGACACUGGAAUUCAGGGAAAAAUGCAUUGUGGGGAAAAAAACGUGCUUGAAAUUGCACUUUACUCACUGUACUUGCAGAUGUAAAUGAGCCCUCAGAUCUCCUCUGUACAUCGCAGAGCAAAUCACUGCCCACAAAUCCAGCAAAAUGAGCACUAUGGGAUGUGCCUUUGUGCCCCUUUCCUCCUGCAGGAGAAGACUUUGGGCAACUUCAGAAAAUGAAGCACCGUGUAUGCCUUCCCCUUGGCAAUGCACUUUAUUGCCAGUGGGAAGGCAUGUUUAACUGGGGGCGAUUCAUCUCCUCAUGGGCCAUGGCCCUUACAAGGGCAAGGGGCUACUGCUUGCUCAUGCAGAUAAAUAAAGCCAGGGUGACAUGGGACAUGAUGGUAGCAUUUUAUUAUCCAGUUACAUGGAAUAAAAUAUUUACACUCCUAUUCACACAUACAUUUUUAGCACUGCUUUAUCUUAUGGCUUCAAGUCUACUCAACGCAACAAUGUCUCUUAAAGGGCCGUAAAAAAAAAGCUCUCUCCACAAAAACAGGAGCUUGAUUUGUAAAUAAAAAUGUCUGCAAAGAAAAAACGCUGAUGGUUUCUGUUCCAAAAAUGGACAGUAGUUGUGCAUUUCCCCUUUAUUUCUUUAACAGGUCAUCAAUCUUUUGCAUAUAUACAGUGUCAGCCCAUCAGUGAAAUUAAUGCACUUGGCUCUGGCCAAGAACCUUAUUAACUUUGGUCAUAAAGGUACUCAGCUCUCUAGCCUUGGAAGGGACAGCGCUGACACCCCAUGUGGCAUUUAGUAUAGUAAUGCCAGCCAGACAGGAAGUAAUACAUGUGAAGACUUUAUAUGUGUAAAGUCCAAUUUCUUUAGUGACAAAAUAAUACUUUUAUUACUGUUUGUAAGCAAAACGUGCGUAUUUGUCUGUGACCAGCCGAUAAAGAUCCUCACUACAUGUCCAAUCAGCGAUGCUGCAGCCGCCAAUAUUA